rnacentral:rRNA from 1 species
AUUGAACGCUGGCGGCAGGCCUAACACAUGCAAGUCGAACGAGUGGCGGACGGGUGAGUAAUGUCUGGGAAACUGCCCGAUGGAGGGGGAUAACUACUGGAAACGGUAGCUAAUACCGCAUACCAUCGGAUGUGCCCAGAUGGGAUUAGCUAGUAGGGGGGGUAACGGCUCACCUAGGCGACGAUCCCUAGCUGGUCUGAGAGGAUGACCACCCACAAGGGAUCUGAGACACCUCACAAACUCCUACAGGAGGCAGCAGAGGGUAAUAGUGCACAAUGGGCGCGAGACUGAUGGAGCCAUGCCGCGUGUAUGAAGAAGGCCUUCGGGUUGUAAAGUACGUUCAGCGAGGAGGCGUUACUCGCAGAAGAAGCACCGGCUAACUCCGUGCCAGCAGCCGCGGUAAUUC